rnacentral:rRNA from 1 species
UAAACUAUAAGUAUUUUAAAUAUAAAGACCCGAAAUAAUAAGGUCAAAAAAGUUAUAAAGUUUAGUCGUUAAAAUUAAAUAUGUUGCAUAAUACAAUUUUAAUAACUUUUUAGAGGAGAUAUUCCAACAGUUUUUAUGAUAGCUGGAUUAAAGGGAAAAGUAUUAAGUACUUAUAACAAUUAUAAAGUGAUAAGAUUUUAUAAUUUAAAUAAGUUGUUUUUAAAUUGACUAGGGUUAGUCCCCUAAAAGUUAUUAAUUUCUACCAUAAUUUGAAUGUAUCUUUUUAUAUUUACCGUUUAAACUAAAACCAAUUAAGGCCUUGAGUUUAUAAUGUUUAAAUUAGUAUUUUCAUAUAAAUUUUGUUAAGGAACUCGGCAAAUAUUAUAUUCGACUGUUUAACAAAAACAUAGUCCAUUGUUUAUUCAUAGUGGGUGUAUACUGCCCGGUGAGUUUAUUAAACGGCCGCAGUACCUUGACUGUGCGAAGGUAGCAUAAUAAUUUGGCCUUUAAAUGGGGUCUAGAAUGAAAGGAUUCACGAAUAUUAGCUGUCUCAACCUUAAUUAAAGAAAACUUAUUUAAAAGGUGCAAAUACCUUUAUAUUAAUAUAAUAGACGAGAAGACCCUUAGAAUUUAAUUUAAUAUAAACAUAUGUUUAGUUUGAUUUUGUUGGGGCAACAAAGCAGCAAAUAUUUAAUCUGCUUUUUAAAUAUUAAGAUAUGCCGACUAUUAGUAUGAAUAUAUAAAUUACCUUAGGGAUAACAGCAUAAUUUAAUAAAGAUUGUGACCUCGAUGUUGGAUUAGGGCCAUAAUAAUUUAACCAAUUAUUGUGCUAGUUCUGUUCGAACUUUAUUACCUACAUGAUCUGAGUUCA